rnacentral:rRNA from 1 species
GACGAACGCUGGCGGCGUGCCUAAUACAUGCAAGUCGAGCGGAUCAUUCCUUCGGGAAUGGUUAGCGGCGGACGGGUGAGUAACACGUAGGCAACCUGCCUGCAAGACUGGGAUAACUAACGGAAACGUUAGCUAAUACCGGAUACGCAAUAGGAUCGCAUGAUCGGAUUGGGAAAGAGGGUUUCGGCUCUCACUUGCAGAUGGGCCUGCGGCGCAUUAGCUAGUUGGUGGGGUAACGGCUCACCAAGGCGACGAUGCGUAGCCGACCUGAGAGGGUGACCGGCCACACUGGGACUGAGACACGGCCCAGACUCCUACGGGAGGCAGCAGUAGGGAAUCUUCCGCAAUGGACGAAAGUCUGACGGAGCAACGCCGCGUGAGUGAUGAAGGUUCUCGGAUCGUAAAGCUCUGUUGCCAGGGAAGAACGGCCGGGGGAGUAACUGCCCCUGGCAUGACGGUACCUGAGAAGAAAGCCCCGGCUAACUACGUGCCAGCAGCCGCCGCGGUAA